AUGCAGCAGAUGGACCCCCCUCCCCGUGAUGGUUGGUUAGCCAAUACCAACAAAUGCAUUCCAAAGAUGGCAGUACAUCACACGAAGAACCAUGCUGAGGCAUCUUGCAACGUCGGAAGUUGCACAUCAAGUUCCCGCACCAAGGAGCGGGGUUGUGCACUGCCCGAGGACAACUCUCCUCAUAGGGCGUGUGAGUCCAAACAGGACAUACCACGUCACCCGCGCCACCAUGGGACAGGUGUAGGCCGGGACAUCGGCCUCAACGAUGCACGUUAUACCAUUGUUGCUCUCCGAGAUCUGAGUGGACCAUCGACGAUGUGCUUUUCCUACUUCUUUGAUCAGAAGCAAACCAGGAGACUUGGAGAUGAAGUCGGAGGAGCCACGAGGCGGCCACAAGGGUGGAGGGUGAUACGUCUCCAACGUAUCUAUAACUUUUGA
rnacentral:rRNA from 1 species